UAACCGUCUAGGGGUAGUCCUUACGACAAUGUGUGAGAUCAGAGGAAGUGACACCCUCUUCUGUACAGAUAGGGAAAUUGAGUCUCAGAGUCUCAGAGACUCAGAGACACCCCCACGGCCAUGCAGCUUGUAAAGGGUGGAGUGUGGUUCCCUCGGGUGUUUCUGAAGCUGAAGCCCAUGUUUUUUAAUCCCCUGAGCUGCUUCCUGAUCUUGGCCUGCUCUACGAGCCCAAAGAAUACCACCUCCCAUACACCCUGACACAUGCGGAC
rnacentral:lncRNA from 1 species